UCCGUACUGGUGUAUCGGUAACAUUUCCGCCUCUCAAGUGCUUGCACAGAUUUCGCGGUAGCGCAGGGUUCGACUCCCUGGUACGGAA